AUUACGUGGACCCCUAACUCAAGAGGAGAAGAAUAGAAAGAGAUUGAAUCAUCUCUGCAUGUAUUGUGGUUCUAAAGAACAUAUUCUGAGAGACUGCCCUAAUCUUCUAAAACAGAAGUCAGUGGGAUCAAAGACGAUUGAAUAUUGAGGCCAUCGUGGAUACUGGGGCAACUGGUUGUUAUAUAGACAUAAGUUUAAUUGAAAAAAAUAAAAUACCACAUAUAGCAAAAGAAAAA